CGGGGUGUAGUACAGUGGUAGUAUACGCGGUUUGGGACCGUGAGAUCAGGGUUCGAUUCCCUGCACCCCGACAA
rnacentral:tRNA from 2 species